GAUGAAGAACGUAGCGAAAUGCGAUAAGUAAUGUGAAUUGCAGAAUUCAGUGAAUCAUCGAAUCUUUGAACGCACAUUGCGCCCCCUGGUAUUCCGGGGGGCAUGCCCGUCCGAGCGUCAUUACAACCCUCAAGCUCAGCUUGGUGUUGGGCCCCGCCGCCCCGGCGGGCCCUAAAGUCAGUGGCGGUGCCGUCCGGCUCCGAGCGUAGUAAUUCUUCUCGCUCUGGAGGUCCGGUCGUGUGCUCGCCAGCAACCCCCAAUUUUUUUCAGGUUGACCUCGGAUCAGGUAGGGAUACCCGCUGAACUUAAGCAUAUCAAUAAGCGGAGGA
rnacentral:misc_RNA from 1 species